GAUGAAGAACGCAGCGAAAUGCGAUAAGUAGUGUGAAUUGCAGAAUUCAGUGAAUCAUCGAAUCUUUGAACGCACAUUGCGCCCCUUGGUAUUCCAUGGGGCAUGCCUGUUCGAGCGUCAUUUGUACCCUCAAGCUAUGCUUGGUGUUGGGUGUUUGUCCUCUCCUCUGCGUUUGGACUCGCCUUAAAGUAAUUGGCAGCCAGUGUAUUGGUCUUGAAGCGCAGCACAAUUUGCGAUUCUAGCUUUUAACAUUAGCAUCCAGUAAAGCCUUUUAUCACUUUUGACCUCGGAUCAGGUAGGGAUACCCGCUGAACUUAAGCAUAUCAAUAAGCGGAGGA
rnacentral:misc_RNA from 1 species